rnacentral:rRNA from 2 species
AGAGUUUGAUCAUGGCUCAGAUUGAACGCUGGCGGCAGGCCUAACACAUGCAAGUCGAGCGGUAGCACAGAGAGCUUGCUCUCGGGUGACGAGCGGCGGACGGGUGAGUAAUGUCUGGGAAACUGCCUGAUGGAGGGGGAUAACUACUGGAAACGGUAGCUAAUACCGCAUAACGUCGCAAGACCAAAGUGGGGGACCUUCGGGCCUCAUGCCAUCAGAUGUGCCCAGAUGGGAUUAGCUAGUAGGUGGGGUAACGGCUCACCUAGGCGACGAUCCCUAGCUGGUCUGAGAGGAUGACCAGCCACACUGGAACUGAGACACGGUCCAGACUCCUACGGGAGGCAGCAGUGGGGAAUAUUGCACAAUGGGCGCAAGCCUGAUGCAGCCAUGCCGCGUGUNACUUUCAGCGGGGAGGAAGGCGAUAAGGUUAAUAACCUUGUCGAUUGACGUUACCCGCAGAAGAAGCACCGGCUAACUCCGUGCCAGCAGCCGCGGUAAUACGGAGGGUGCAAGCGUUAAUCGGAAUUACUGGGCGUAAAGCGCACGCAGGCGGUCUGUCAAGUCGGAUGUGAAAUCCCCGGGCUCAACCUGGGAACUGCAUUCGAAACUGGCAGGCUAGAGUCUUGUAGAGGGGGGUAGAAUUCCAGGUGUAGCGGUGAAAUGCGUAGAGAUCUGGAGGAAUACCGGUGGCGAAGGCGGCCCCCUGGACAAAGACUGACGCUCAGGUGCGAAAGCGUGGGGAGCAAACAGGAUUAGAUACCCUGGUAGUCCACGCCGUAAACGAUGUCGAUUUGGAGGUUGUGCCCUUGAGGCGUGGCUUCCGGAGCUAACGCGUUAAAUCGACCGCCUGGGGAGUACGGCCGCAAGGUUAAAACUCAAAUGAAUUGACGGGGGCCCGCACAAGCGGUGGAGCAUGUGGUUUAAUUCGAUGCAACGCGAAGAACCUUACCUGGUCUUGACAUCCACAGAACUUNUUGGUGCCUUCGGGAACUGUGAGACAGGUGCUGCAUGGCUGUCGUCAGCUCGUGUUGUGAAAUGUUGGGUUAAGUCCCGCAACGAGCGCAACCCUUAUCCUUUGUUGCCAGCGGUUCGGCCGGGAACUCAAAGGAGACUGCCAGUGAUAAACUGGAGGAAGGUGGGGAUGACGUCAAGUCAUCAUGGCCCUUACGACCAGGGCUACACACGUGCUACAAUGGCAUAUACAAAGAGAAGCGACCUCGCGAGAGCAAGCGGACCUCAUAAAGUAUGUCGUAGUCCGGAUUGGAGUCUGCAACUCGACUCCAUGAAGUCGGAAUCGCUAGUAAUCGUAGAUCAGAAUGCUACGGUGAAUACGUUCCCGGGCCUUGUACACACCGCCCGUCACACCAUGGGAGUGGGUUGCAAAAGAAGUAGGUAGCUUAACCUUCGGGAGGGCGCUUACCACUUUGUGAUUCAUGACUGGGGUGAAGUCGUAACAAGGUAACCGUAGGGGAACCUGCGGUUGGAUCACCU